GCGCCCGUAGCUCAGCUGGAUAGAGUACCUGACUACGAAUCAGGUGGUCGGAGGUUCGAAUCCUCCCGGGCGUG
rfam:Halomonas ilicicola DSM 19980 genome assembly, contig: EJ56DRAFT_scaffold00002.2